AAGUUUUUCUUUGAAGUUAAGGGAAAAUGUGGUGUACGAAUAACAGUGCAAUCCUCCCUGUGGCAUGAGGUCAAUGCAAAUGCAUACUUCAUCAUGCCUAAGGAGAAUUGCCCUGCUAUUCACUACCACAAGUCAGUUGCAUACACAUUGUGUUCAUUUUCCUUGAAAAAUUUUCUUGAAAAAGAGAAGUAUAAUUAUUUUGAGACGCCAUCGCGACAUUCAUUACCAUGUUUUCCAUUCCAUUAAAAGAGUUCAUACUACAUAUUCGAAUUGCAAGUAAAAAAUGAGCAAAAAUUUUACUUCACUUGACUUUUCUUGUGCACUGUGAGUCCCAAUGCUUCUUCUAUAUCUAAAUCUUCAGUAAAUAUUCCUUCACGAAGUGACCAAUUAAAUAGAGCCAGAAGAUUAGCAACGGCAAGCUCAAUGACUGGGACAGAAAAAUCAAUUCCAGGACAACUCCUCCCUGUCCCGUACCGGAUCAGCUCAAAAUUUUGCCCUCUGGAAUCCACAGAGCUAUUCAAGAAUCUUUCUGGCUUGAAGUCAUUUCGCUUUUCCCAGAAUGUAGGGUCAGUAGCAAUUGAAGCUCUUGUUUUGACCCGAAUUUGGAACCCUCCUAUCAUGCAACUCUCAAGAGUUUCUGGAGGAACAAGUAAAGGGGCGGGUGGAUGCAGUCUCAAUGACACUUUUACUACCAGAUUUAGGUAGACUGAUUGCUUGGGCUGCAUCUCCCUGGAUUCGGAGCAAUACAUCAACAGGAUCAUCGUGGUCGGGUUUAAUUCUCUGGGGAUCGUGAUGCUCCUGUAUUAACUUGUCAAAGAAAUCAUCCAGCUCCCUGAAGUUCUUAUCGAGCCUUGAAUCCAUGGCAUUAAACUUGUUAAGCCAUUCCAUCGAUUCAAAAAAAUCAGCAAUAUUGGGUUCAACUAGCAAGUUUUGUGGUUCAUGAAGAAUUGCAUGGAAUCCGCUAUUGCCACCAUGACUACGACCAAAAGCAGGACGACAAAUAACAUUUUUGGAGAGGGUAAAAGACAGUUAGCUAAUGUUGAUAGGAAUAUUUGGUGAACAAGAUAGUAUUGUGUUGACCACUGAAGACACCUCUUCAUCACAAAUUGCCUUAAAAGAUUGCACUCUUUUUGCACUUAGCAAC